rnacentral:tRNA from 1 species
GCCCCGCUAACUCAGUCGGUAGAGCAUGAGACUCUUAAUCUCAGGGUUGUGGGUUCAUGCCUCAUGCUGGGCA